AUUGAACGCUGGCGGCAUGCCUAACACAUGCAAGUCGAACGGUAACGCGGAGAGCUUGCUCUCUGGCGACGAGUGGCGGACGGGUGAGUAAUACUUAGGGAAUCUACCCAGUAGUGGGGGACAACAUUCGGAAACGGAUGCUAAUACCGCAUACGCACUACGGUGGAAAGUGGGGGACCUUCGGGGCCUCACGCUAUUGGAUGAGCCUAAGUCGGAUUAGCUUGUUGGUGAGGUAAUGGCUCACCAAGGCGACGAUCCGUAGCUGGUCUGAGAGGACGAUCAGCCACACUGGGACUGAGACACGGCCCAGACUCCUACGGGAGGCAGCAGUGGGGAAUAUUGGACAAUGGGCGCAAGCCUGAUCCAGCAAUGCCGCGUGUGUGAAGAAGGCCUGCGGGUUGUAAAGCACUUUCAGUAGAGAAGAAAAGCCUAGGGAUAAUACCCCUGAGUCUUGACGUAACCUACAGAAGAAGCACCGGCUAACUCCGUG
rnacentral:rRNA from 1 species